rnacentral:misc_RNA from 1 species
CCGAGUGCGGGCCCUCUGGGUCCACCCUCCCACCCGUGUCUACCGUCCCUUGUUGCUUCGGCGGGCCUGCCCCCCCUCCCGGGGGCGGCCGGGGGGCCUUGUGCCCCCGGGCUCCGUGCCCGCCGGAGACCCCCACGAACCCUGUGUGAAGGUUGCCGUCUGAGUGGAUUUAUCCAAAUCGUCA